rnacentral:misc_RNA from 1 species
GAUGAAGAACGUAGCGAAAUGCGAUAAGUAAUGUGAAUUGCAGAAUUCAGUGAAUCAUCGAAUCUUUGAACGCACAUUGCGCCCAUUAGUAUUCUAGUGGGCAUGCCUGUUCGAGCGUCAAUAAUUCCACUUAAGCCCUGCUUAGUGUUGGGAAUCUACUCUAGUGGUGCUACCCUGGAGCUACCCCUGAAAGGGGGCUGGCCCGGUAGCUACCCUGUAGUUCCUCAAAGAUAGUGCGCGGAGUUGCGUGGUCCUCUGAGCUUAGUAACUAUACACCUAGCUUUUGAGUGUCCCGCGGCGCCUGCCGUUUAAACCCCAUCUUUUAAUGGUUGACCUCGGAUCAGGUAGGAAUACCCGCUGAACUUAAGCAUAUCAAUAAGCGGAGGA